rnacentral:lncRNA from 1 species
UAUCAAUCUUUUGUGUUUUCUUGCAUUUGGUCUUUGACGCUUGUUUUAGCAUUUGAUUUCCAAAGAAGAAGAAAAAAAUGAUUUGUGUCUUCGAAACUGCUCUCUGCCUACAUGAGAAUGUCUAUGAGACAUUCAUUGGAGUCAACAUCGCUAGCAAUGAUCAAGUGUUAGAGUAUGCUGUAGCUGCAUUUGUAGAGAACGGUGACAACGAUGAUGACGAUAUCUAUGAUUAUGCUCCAGCUGCAUGAAUGGACCAAUAUAUUUAUUUAUGAAAACAUGAUUUUGCACCUUUAUUUUAAUAUAUUAAUGUAUUUUUUGGUCCUAGGGUUUCUUCAUGUUAGUUAAUGUUACACUUUCACUCACUAUAUAAGUCAUUUAUAUGCUUCUCUCGUCUUAUCUUUGUCUCAAGAGACAAAAAUGAACGAAGAUUCAAUAUGGUUUCAAUUGUCCUAGCAUCUAACUUCGUUUUCGCAAUCAAAAUCUUCAGCUCCC